AUAUAGUGGUGUAUAAAUGUAU
rnacentral:snRNA from 1 species